rnacentral:rRNA from 1 species
UCCGUAGGGUGCGAGCGUUGUCCGGAUUUAUUGGGCUUAAAGGGUGCGUAGGCGGCUGAAUAAGUCGUGGGUGAAAGCCCGUCGCUCAACGACGGAAUUGCCUGCGAUACUGUUUAGCUUGAGUAUCGUUAAGGUUGGCGGAAUGGGAGGUGUAGCGGUGAAAUGCAUAGAUACCUUCCAGAACACCGAUUGCGUAGGCAGCUGACUAGGCGAUAACUGACGCUGAGGCACGAAAGCGUGGGGAGAGAACAGG